CCUACGGGUGGCAGCAGUGAGGAAUAUUGGUCAAUGGUCGGGAAACUGAACCAGCCAAGCCGCGUGAGGGAGGAAGGUACAGAGUAUCGUAAACCUCUUUUGUCAGGGAACAAAGGCGGGGACGUGUCCCCGGAUGAGUGUACCUGAAGAAAAAGCAUCGGCUAACUCCGUGCCAGCAGCCGCGGUAAUACGGAGGAUGCGAGCGUUAACCGGAUUUAUUGGGUUUAAAGGGUGCGCAGGCGGUCUGUUAAGUCAGGCGUUAAAGGCCGGGGCUCAACCCCGGCCCCGCGGUUGAAACUGGCAGUCUCGAGUUGGAGAGAGGUAUGCGGAAUGCGCGGUGUAGCGGUGAAAUGCAUAGAUAUCGCGCAGAACUCCGAUUGCGAAGGCAGCAUGCCGGCUCCACACUGACGCUGAGGCACGAAAGCGUGGGUAUCGAACAGGAUUAGAUACCCUUGUAGUC
rnacentral:rRNA from 1 species